UACGGAGGGUGCGAGCGUUGUCCGGAAUCACUGGGCGUAAAGGGCGCGUAGGCGGCGCGGAUAGUCGGCGGUGAAAGCCCGGAGCUCAACUCCGGGUCGGCCGUCGAUACUUCCGGGCUUGAGCACUGUAGAGGCAGAUGGAAUUCCUGGUGUAGCGGUGAAAUGCGCAGAUAUCAGGAAGAACACCCGUGGCUAAGGCGGCUCUCUAGUACGGUACUGAGCUGAGAGCGAAAGCAUGGGGAGCGAACAGG
rnacentral:rRNA from 1 species